rnacentral:lncRNA from 1 species
AAGCACUUAGCUUCAUUCUCUCAAGCUUAAACCUACGAAAUUUCCUUACCAUAUCAGUCUAUAAUCAAGCCCCAUUCACACCAACAACAAAUCAGAAGCAUCAAAGGAUCAAAAUCAAGAAAUCAAAGCUAGAAAAGGUAAAAACCCUAAAUUCUAGAAAUCCUUCGAUUCGAUGUUAAUUGGUGCAAUUGAUUGUUUAAAGUUGUGUAAUAGGGAGUCUAUUAAUGUUCUGGGUUGUUAAAUUCAGGACCCAUAACAUCAAAGUGCUCAAAAUCAAAGUUUUUCCAACUUUUGUAAAACCGAAUUCUGUUAUUUUUGGGCAAAUGUCAAGCCUUAUAUCUCUGUGGUUAUUUACUGUUUUUGGUGUUUGUAAGAUGUUAUGUGUAGCUUGUUAUGAGGUCUUUAAGAUUCAAAAAGAAUCAAGGCCAUAUCUAUUAUAGAUCAAAAGUUAUAAUCAGUCAAACAGGGUUGACCAAAACUGCAAAACCAGCGAAUCCAGAAAUUUCUUGAGUGCUGUCCGUGGUCGACUUUGACCAGUAAUUUCUAGUUCGAUCUGAUGUUAUUAUGAUGAUGUUAAGGUUUGUAGUUGUAGUCCUACAUGUUGUCUACACACUAGAAGUGAUAGAGCACAAAAAUGUUACACGAUCACCAAGUUAUAGAGGUCCAAAGUAGGCACCUCGAAGCUGUUUUUCGUGAAGAACAGCUUUGGCAGCUACUUUGAGGUUCGUUUUCUCCCAGAUCUGAUGUUGUUUAGAGGUUAUGUUUGUUGGAUCUUGUAGUCUUGUAUUUCCUCUACAAGACCCAAUUUAUAGAUUGUCCAAAUUCGUUAAGAUGAGAGAGUUAUUCACGGUCAAAGUAGCCCACUCGGUUCUGCCUUAUGAAGAUCUGGGUAGGCUCAAGAACACCUAUAGCGACGGUUCUGUCACUAUAGGGGCCUUUAGCGACAGUUUUAAUUAUUUUUAAUUUCUGAUUUUCCGGAAAUUAAUUUAAAAAUUAGAAAAAUUAGUUUUUAAUUAUUAAAAAUACCAAAUAAAUUAUGAAAAAUUAUUUUAAAGUCUG